CAGUAGCCGCGGUAAUACAGAGGGUGCGAGCGUUAAUCGGAUUUACUGGGCGUAAAGCGUGCGUAGGCGGCUUUUUAAGUCGGAUGUGAAAUCCCUGAGCUUAACUUAGGAAUUGCAUUCGAUACUGGGAAGCUAGAGUAUGGGAGAGGAUGGUAGAAUUCCAGGUGUAGCGGUGAAAUGCGUAGAGAUCUGGAGGAAUACCGAUGGCGAAGGCAGCCAUCUGGCCUAAUACUGACGCUGAGGUACGAAAGCAUGGGGAGCAAACAGGAUUAGAUACCCCGGUUGUCCCUGUCUCUUAUAC
rnacentral:rRNA from 1 species